rnacentral:piRNA from 1 species
CAAUACAAAGAUCUGAUGGAAUUUCG